UACGUAGGCAGCGAGCGUUGUUCGGAGUUACUGGGCGUAAAGGGUGUGUAGGCGGUUUUCUAAGUCUGGUGUGAAAUCUCCCGGCUCAACUGGGAGGGUGCGCCGAAAACUGGAAGGCUAGAGUGCGGGAUGGGUAAGUGGAAUUCCUGGUGUAGCGGUGAAAUGCGCAGAUAUCAGGAGGAACACCAAUUGCGAAGGCAGCUCGCUGGGACGUUACUGACGCUGAGACGCGAAAGCGUGGGGAGCAAACAGG
rnacentral:rRNA from 1 species